rnacentral:rRNA from 1 species
GACGAACGCUGGCGGCGUGCUUAACACAUGCAAGUCGAACGGAAAGGCCCUGCUUUUGUGGGGUGCUCGAGUGGCGAACAGGUGAGUAACACGUGAGUAACCUGCCCUUGACUUUGGGAUAACUUCAGGAAACUGGGGCUAAUACCGGAUAGGAGCUCCUGCUGCAUGGUGGGGUUGGAAAGUUUCGGCGGUUGGGGAUGGACUCGCGGCUUAUCAGCUUGUUGGUGGGGUAGUGGCUUACCAAGGCUUUGACGGGUAGCCGGCCUGAGAGGGUGACCGGCCACAUUGGGACUGAGAUACGGCCCAGACUCCUACGGGAGGCAGCAGUGGGGAAUAUUGCACAAUGGGCGGAAGCCUGAUGCAGCAACGCCGCGUGCGGGAUGACGGCCUUCGGGUUGUAAACCGCUUUCGCCUGUGACGAAGCGUGAGUGACGGUAAUGGGUAAAGAAGCACCGGCUAACUACGUGCCAGCAGCCGCGGUGAUACGUAGGGUGCGAGCGUUGUCCGGAUUUAUUGGGCGUAAAGGGCUCGUAGGUGGUUGAUCGCGUCGGAAGUGUAAUCUUGGGGCUUAACCCUGAGCGUGCUUUCGAUACGGGUUGACUUGAGGAAGGUAGGGGAGAAUGGAAUUCCUGGUGGAGCGGUGGAAUGCGCAGAUAUCAGGAGGAACACCAGUGGCGAAGGCGGUUCUCUGGGCCUUUCCUGACGCUGAGGAGCGAAAGCGUGGGGAGCGAACAGGCUUAGAUACCCUGGUAGUCCACGCUGUAAACGGUGGGUACUAGGUGCGGGGUCCAUUCCACGGGUUCCGUGCCGUAGCUAACGCUUUAAGUACCCCGCCUGGGGAGUACGGCCGCAAGGCUAAAACUCAAAGGAAUUGACGGGGCCCCGCACAAGCGGCGGAGCAUGCGGAUUAAUUCGAUGCAACGCGUAGAACCUUACCUGGGUUUGACAUGGAUCGGGAGUGCUCAGAGAUGGGUGUGCCUCUUUUGGGGUCGGUUCACAGGUGGUGCAUGGCUGUCGUCAGCUCGUGUCGUGAGAUGUUGGGUUAAGUCCCGCAACGAGCGCAACCCUUGUUCACUGUUGCCAGCACGUUAUGGUGGGGACUCAGUGGAGACCGCCGGGGUCAACUCGGAGGAAGGUGGGGAUGACGUCAAGUCAUCAUGCCCCUUAUGUCCAGGGCUUCACGCAUGCUACAAUGGCUGGUACAGAGAGUGGCGAGCCUGUGAGGGUGAGCGAAUCUCGGAAAGCCGGUCUCAGUUCGGAUUGGGGUCUGCAACUCGACCUCAUGAAGUCGGAGUCGCUAGUAAUCGCAGAUCAGCAACGCUGCGGUGAAUACGUUCCCGGGGCU